rnacentral:rRNA from 1 species
UGAAUACGAGACACUAAGGUGUUGAAGUAGUGUAUGUCAUACUUCCAAGAAAAGCUUGCACUGUCAUAGAUAAAAAAUGCCUGUACCAUAACCGACACAGGUGGGUAGGUAGAGUAUACUAAGGGGCGCGAGAUAACUCUCUCUAAGGAACUCGGCAAAAUAACUCCGUAACUUCGGGAGAAGGAGUGCCUUAUUUAUAAGGUUGCAAUAACAAGAUCCAAGCAACUGUUUAUCAAAAACACAGGUCUCCGCUAAGUCGUAAGACGAUGUAUGGGGGCUGACGCCUGCCCAGUGCCAGAAGGUUAAAGAAGUUGGUUAGCAAUAGCGAAGCCGGUAACUGAAGCCCUGGUGAACGGCGGCCGUAACGAUAACGGUCCUAAGGUAGCGAAAUUCCUUGUCGGGUAAGUUCCGACCCGCACGAAAGGCGUAAUGAUUUGGAUACUGUCUCGGAGAGGGGCUCGGUGAAAUAGACUUGUCUGUGAAGAUGCGGACUACCUGCACCAGGACAGAAAGACCCUAUGAAGCUUUACUGUAACUUGAAAUUGAAAUUGGACUUUAUUCGCGCAGCAUAGGUGGGAGGCGUUGAUUAUAAUCUCGCGGGAUUAUUGGAGCCAUCAGUGAGAUACCACUCUUGUAAUGUUAGAUUUCUAACUUUGAAUCAUUAUCUGGUCAAAGGACAGUUUCAGGCGGGCAGUUUGACUGGGGCGGUCGCCUCCUAAACGGUAACGGAGGCGUACAAAGGUUUCCUCUGAACGGUUAGAAAUCGUAUCUAGAGUGUAAAGGCAUAAGGAAGCUUGACUGUGAGACCUACAAGUCGAGCAGGGACGAAAGUCGGUCUUAGUGAUCUGACGGUACUGAGUGGAAAGGCCGUCACUCAACGGAUAAAAGUUACUCUAAGGAUAACAGGCUGAUCUCCCCCAAGAGUUCACAUCGACGGGGAGGUUUGGCACCUCGAUGUCGGCUCAUCGCAUCCUGGGGCGGUAGUACGUCCCAAGGGUUGGGCUGUUCGCCCAUGAAAGCGGUACGCGAGCUGGGUUCAGAACGUCGUGAGACAGUUCGGUCCAUAUCCGGUGUAGGCGUUAGAAUAUUGAGAGGAGCCUUCUUUAGUACGAGAGGACCGAGAAGGACAUACCUCUGGUGUACCAGUUAUCGUGCCAACGGUAAACGCUGGGUAGCUAUGUAUGGAGUGGAUAACCGCUGAAAGCAUCUAAGUGGGAAGCCCACCUCAAGAUAAGUAUUCUCAUC